CCCUUAGAUGUUCUGGGCCGCACGCGCGCUACACUGAUGAAUGCAACGAGCUCUACCCUUGACCGAAAGGCCCGGGUAAACUUGUGAAACUUCAUCGUGAUGGGGAUAGAUUAUUGCAAUUAUUAAUCUUCAACGAGGAAUUCCUAGCAAGCGCGAGUCAUCAGCUCGCGUUGAUUACGUCCCUGCCCUUUGUACACACCGCCCGUCGCUCCUACCGAUUGAAUGGUCCGGUGAAAUCUUCGGAUUGCUGACCAAGAUCCAGCAAUGGAGCUUGGUUGCGAGAAGUUGAUUAAACCUUAUUAUUUAGAGGAAGGAGAAGUCGUAACA
rnacentral:rRNA from 1 species